rnacentral:rRNA from 1 species
UACGGUAGGGAGCAAGCGUUGUUCGGAUUUACUGGGCGUAAAGGGCGCGUAGGCGGCGCGGUAAGUCACUUGUGGAAAUCUCUGAGCUUAACUCAGAACGGCCAAGUGAUACUGCAGUGCUAGAGUGCAGAAGGGGCAAUCGGAAAUUCUUGGUGUAGCGGUGAAAUGCGUAGAUAUCAAGAGGAACACCUGAGGUGAAGACGGGUUGCUGGGCUGACACUGACGCUGAGGCGCGAAAGCCAGGGGAGCAAACGGG